rnacentral:misc_RNA from 1 species
GUGAAAGAGCACCCAUUGAUCCCAAAAGGACCAGUAUUCUCUUAUAUUGCAUGGCCAGGAGGGCAGCGAUGAAAAAUGUCUUGUCUCCAAUCUCAGAAACAAAUAUCAAUGAGAAUGCAGCAGUGAACCCUGAUUUCGAAAAUGCUGCAAUGAGUGAUGACGGUCCUCCUUUCGUGAAGGCAAUCACCGAAAAUACUAACGAACAUCCACAUAGCACAAGAGCUAUAGCGAGAGGAUAAGGAAUUUUACUUGGAAGUGCCUCAAUUUUCGAUGAACCAUCAGUAGACGGCUGAUUGACUGAAACAUUGUGGCUUUCAUUUCCUUGACUUUCUUCAAAACUUCCAGAUCCGACAC